rnacentral:rRNA from 1 species
AGUGAACGCUGGCGGUAGGCCUAACACAUGCAAGUCGAACGGCAGCACAGUAAGAGCUUGCUCUUACGGGUGGCGAGUGGCGGACGGGUGAGGAAUACAUCGGAAUCUACUUUUUCGUGGGGGAUAACGUAGGGAAACUUACGCUACUACCGCAUACGACCUACGGGUGAAAGCAGGGGAUCUUCGGACCUUGCGCGAUUGAAUGAGCCGAUGUCGGAUUAGCUAGUUGGCGGGGUAAAGGCCCACCAAGGCGACGAUCCGUAGCUGGUCUGAGAGGAUGAUCAGCCACACUGGAACUGAGACACGGUCCAGACUCCUACGGGAGGCAGCAGUGGGGAAUAUUGGACAAUGGGCGCAAGCCUGAUCCAGCCAUACCGCGUGGGUGAAGAAGGCCUUCGGGUUGUAAAGCCCUUUUGUUGGGAAAGAAAAGCAGCAGGUUAAUACCCCGCUGUUCUGACGGUACCCAAAGAAUAAGCACCGGCUAACCUCGUG